rnacentral:rRNA from 1 species
AUUGAACGCUGGCGGCAGGCCUAACACAUGCAAGUCGAACGAGUGGCGGACGGGUGAGUAAUGUCUGGGAAACUGCCCGAUGGAGGGGGAUAACUACUGGAAACGGUAGCUAAUACCGCAUACCAUCGGAUGUGCCCAGAUGGGAUUAGCUAGUCGGUGGGGGAAAGGCUCACCUAGUCGACGAUCCCUAGCUGGUCUGAGAGGAUGACCAGCCACACUGGAAAUGAGACACGGGCCAGACUCAUACGGGAGGCAGCAGUGGGGAAUAUUGCACAAUGGGCGCAAGCCUGAUGCAGCCAUGCCGCGUGGAUGAAGAAGGCCUUCGGGUUGUAAAGUACUUUCAGCGAGGAGGCGUUACUCGCAGAAGAAGCACCGGCUAACUCUGUGCCAGCCGCCGCGGUAAUUC